ACAAGUAUUUAAUGGUCGGAAUCAAAAAAAUCGUCAGAGCAGUAAACAAAGGCACGACCGUAAGAAUUAAUUAUCACGUUUCUCUGUUCUAAUAGUUUAUUCAAAAAUUCAAACAUGUCAAAGCUGUUGAUAAUUUUGGAAAUUGUUGGAGUAUUUGUGGUCUUGAGCAGAGCGAGUGUGAUCAAAGAGAGCUGCUCAGCUGAAGGAUCUCUCUGUGUAUUAGGAAGUAAUUGCUGUGGUGAUUUGGUAUGUAAUCCUGGUUUCUUUAUCUUUGGAUUGUGUGAUACAAU